CAGUAGCCGCGGUAAUACGAAGGGUGCAAGCGUUACUCGGAAUUACUGGGCGUAAAGCGUGCGUAGGUGGUGGUUUAAGUCCGUUGUGAAAGCCCUGGGCUCAACCUGGGAAUUGCAGUGGAUACUGGGUCACUAGAGUGUGGUAGAGGAUAGUGGAAUUUUCGGUGUAGCAGUGAAAUGCGUAGAGAUCGGAAGGAACAUCUGUGGCGAAGGCGACUAUCUGGGCCAACACUGACACUGAGGCACGAAAGCGUGGGGAGCAAACAGGAUUAGAUACCCGCGUAGUCCCUGUCUCUUAUAC
rnacentral:rRNA from 1 species